rnacentral:lncRNA from 1 species
UCUAGGCUUGGUUGAGCCGCGCAGGAAGGUCCGAGGCUGGGGGAGCAGCCGUUGGCUCUGGUGCCCCUGGGGGUGGGAGCACGAGUGGGCAAGGAUGAUGGUGAGGCAGAGGAGGCGGCCCCGAGGGAGCGCCCGGCUGAGAGGCGGGGGGCCGAGGGGCCCGGGGAGCGGGCGUCACCGAGGGCCCUGGAAGCGGCAGGGCUGGGGGAGAGGAGACGCGUGUGUGGAGCAUGGGGACCCCAGCCCAGCUCCCACUUGCAGACCUGGGCCGCGGGCUGCCGGCCGAGUGGCCGGGGGGCCUGGCUGCCCAGGAGGCGGGCCGGGGCCGCGGCCGGGGGCGCGGAGCGGAGUUAGGGUCGCCAGGCCGAGCCGAGGUGGGACGGACCGACGCAGAGAGGAAGGGAAGCCACCUGGCCUGAAGAUCCUGUCUCUAAGAUCCCAUUCUGAGGCUUCGAGGGUCUGGCUUGAGCAGCACAGACAGGGACGUGUCUAACCGGGAUGACCAUGAGGUCUCAUCGCAGUUUGCCACUAACCAGGUCCACGCUGCUUUUAUGAGCUGUAACACUCACCGCGAAGAU